GAGAACAAGGGACCUUGCUCUAAUUGAAUCUGCCUUUUUCCUCCUUUGUGCCCAAGGAAUCUCUUUAUGAGCAUGACUGCCUGUGCUGCAGGAGUGAACAGGGGAUAUGAGAAAGAGAGAAUGUGUGUAGCUUGGCCUGAAGCUUAGGAUUUGAAUUACCAAUGUCCAAAAUGGAAUGUACACCUCCUUUUGUUCUCAUCCUUUCUUCAACAAAUAUCCCUUGACCCCCACCAGGUGCCAGGCAGUGUGCUGGGGGGCAGGUGUGACUGGGGCCCCUCAUUAACUUGGAGACAAUAAAUGAGCUUUUGCUCCUCAGCCACUGCUCAAGGUGCCAUUGAGCUCUCUGUCCAUCCAUCCCACUCAAGAUACCGACCCCUUCUGAGUGAGGAAUGCUGGACAGGACACAAACAAGCAUGACUUUUUACAUGAUUGUUGGUAAAGACUUACAUUAGACAGGCGUAAGCAUUUGGAACACUGCCCGGGACGUGAUACAGCCAAUCCCAAAAGGAGGCUGGGUGGGGAAUAAACAGGGAGAAGAGAAGAAAGGGAAGCUCUUGUCACUGUUAAGUGCACCCAACAGCUUGGUUGUGCCAGUGCCCACGAAAGGAUUCUCGAGAUGGGAGGGAGUUCCUUCUGCCCGGAAAGCCCUCCCUUGACUCCUACUUGCCUGUGAAGCUUUCUCCAGAUGUCCCUCCUGACUACUUAAAGAAUUUUGUCCAAACUGCUGGAAAAGUCCACAUCACUCUAAGCUGCUGAAAUGACUGCCGAAGAUCCCUGCUUCCUGACACCUGCAGACUAGUGUCAUCCUGUCCCCCUGGUGCAGGCUAUACCUGGUGACUUGCUUCUAAUGAACAGAAUACAGCAAAGGCAGCUUCCGUGCUGUGAAAUGCUAUAUGGAGAGGCCCUGUGGCAGAGAAUCCAGGAAGGUUUCUAGCCCACAGCUCAUAAGGAACUGAAGUCUCAGGCCAACAACCACAAGGAACGUGUCCUGCCAACAACCACAUGCGUGAGCCUUGAAGUGGAUCCUUCCCUGUUGAGCCUUCUGAGAGAAGAACCAGAGCCCGAGGACCCAGGCUGAAAACCAAAAUAGUAAGUGGAUGCUUCCUUAACCUGAACCCCAGAAUGAAGAAAACACUUGGAGAAGAGCCACAGAACCAUAGCUGGGGGCUGUCCCACAGCCAAAAUAUAAUGAAAGGUUCAGGUGCUCAGCCAUGGAUCCCAGCCUUAUCUCUGCAGAAGGGCCCAACAUCACAGGCUGCAAGGAGGGGGAGCCUCGCAGACAUUGUGGGGAUCCCACAUCUGAAAAUCCCAUGGCUUUCCACUGGCCCCAAAGUCAGAAAACAAACUGGAGGUUUGUGAAAUCGGUCUCCUACCAUGAAUUGACAACACUCACAUGCCACAAAGGUAAUAAGUUCUUUUUCUGAAUCUGAUAUUAGGCAGAGUCUAUAAAAGGAACAAGGAGGAGCAAAGAGAGACUCACAUUAGGGAUGCCAGUCAGUGCUCGCUCCCACACACCCAUCUAAGGGAGCUGCCUGCCCCAGAUUCCCUCUUGCUUCAGCACCCUCCUCCCACCCUGCUAGCUAAUUGGGCACCGUGUGGACCGCAUGACCCAAGUGUGAUGGCGAAUGACUCAUGACCUGUCUCGUGUGGGGUGAAAAGAUAGAUUUGGCCAAUCAGAUUCCUCUGGGAUAUUGAGAAUUGUAAAGCUGGGAAACUGAGACAGCAGAGGAGCUGAGGAUGCAAAGACACCUUGAGAAAUGGCAGACAAAACCAUGAAUAAACCUGGUUUCUGUGUAAGCAGAAAAGGUGAAGAAUGGGAGGACACUAGCCAAUGGAGAGAAAGGAGAAUUGAACAAGUAAUUAAAGAGAACAAGAGAAAGGAUGAAAGAGAGAGAGAAAGGGGGAGAGAGAAAGACUCUGGUUCCUAAAACAGCCGUAGGUGCUGACAACUUUCCAAUUCUAAUUACAGUUCACAGUUCCUAAUAAUAAACCUCUGUUUUUGAGGUAACUUGAGGGAGUCUGUUUCUUGCAAGUGAAAGAGCUAAACCGAAACAAAGGGAAUCCACCACAUAAAGAUUGAGGUGAAGAACAAGUGAACCAAUUCCUAUUUUCUCUGGCUUUAGCUUUCUAGCCAAAAUGGACUUGUCUAAAAUAGCCUCUCGUGCCCGGAGUGUGCUAUACAUCCCGGACUGUGUGCACUAUUGAGCCUAAUGACAACAAGGAGAUAAUAAUGUUGGACAACAUCCAUUCAACAAGCUUUUGUUCAGCUCCCACUACUUAGAUCAGCAACACUCCUUUGAGAAUGAAGGAGGGAAUGAAAGAAAGGUUAAAGAUUCAUGGCCCCUGCCCUAAAGGAGAAUAUCAGCUUGUGGACAGAAAUAUAUGCAUUUUACAAAUGAGGAGAUAGGCCAAGGUAGGGCAUAGGUGUGUUCAAGUUCACCCUGCUAGUUAUCAAAGAGAUGGGGCUA